rnacentral:miRNA from 1 species
UGUGCAAAGCCCAAUCAUGUCU